rnacentral:rRNA from 1 species
AUUGAACGCUGGCGGCAGGCCUAACACAUGCAAGUCGAACGAGUGGCGGACGGGUGAGUAAUGUCUGGGAAACUGCCCGAUGGAGGGGGAUAACUACUGGAAACGGUAGCUAAUACCGCAUACCAUCGGAUGUGCCAAGAUGGGAUUAGCUAGUAGGUGGGGUAACGGCUCACCUAGGCGACGAUCCCUAGCUGGUCUGAGAGGAUGACCAGCACCAUGGGAACUGAGCCACGGUCCAGACGCCUACGGGGGGCAGCAGGGGGGAAUAUUGCACAAUGGGCGGAAGCCUGAUGCAGCCAUGCCGCGUGUAUGAAGAAGGCCUGCGGGUUGUAAAUUACUUUCAGCGAGGAGGCGUUACUCGCAGAAGAAGCACCGGCUAACUCCGUGCCAGCAGCCGCGGAAUUC